GAAAUGCGAUAAGUAAUGUGAAUUGCAGAAUUCCGUGAAUCAUCGAAUCUUUGAACGCACAUUGCGCCCUCUGGUAUUCCGGGGGGCAUGCCUGUCCGAGCGUCAUUGCACACCCUCAAGCGCGGCUUGUGUGUUGGGCCUUCGCGUCCCCCCGUCUCCGGGGGGGGACGGGCCCCAAAGGCAGUGGCGGCGUCGCGGUUAUCCGAUCAGCCAGAGCGUAUGGGGACCUCUGUUCACACGUUCUCGGUGCGGACCGACGCCGGCCUGGUCACCAAUCUCCUUCCACGGUUGACCUCGGAUCAGGUAGGGAUACCCGCUGAACUUAA
rnacentral:misc_RNA from 1 species